rfam:Erinaceus europaeus unplaced genomic scaffold scaffold00740, whole genome shotgun sequence
GCCCUGCUAGCUCAGUGGGUAGAGCAUGAGACUCUUAAUCCCAGGGUCGUGGGUGCCCCACGUUGGGUG